AUUGAACGCUGGCGGCAUGCUUUACACAUGCAAGUCGAACGGUAACAGGCCGCAAGGUGCUGACGAGUGGCGAACGGGUGAGUAAUGCAUCGGAACGUGCCCAGUCAUGGGGGAUAACGCAGCGAAAGCUGCGCUAAUACCGCAUACGAUCUAUGGAUGAAAGCGGGGGACCGUAAGGCCUCGCGCGAUUGGAGCGGCCGAUGUCAGAUUAGGUAGUUGGUGGGGUAAAGGCUCACCAAGCCAACGAUCUGUAGCUGGUCUGAGAGGACGGCCAGCCACACUGGAACGGAGACACGACCCAGACUCCUACGGGGGGCAGCGGAGGGGAAUUUUGGACAAUGGGCGCAAGCCUGAUCCAGCAAUGCCGCGUGCAGGAAGAAGGCCUUCGGGUUGUAAACUGCUUUUGUACGGAACGAAACGGUCCUGGUUAAUACCCGGGGCUAAUGACGGUACCGUAAGAAUAAGCACCGGCUAACUACGUGCCAGCAGCCGCCGUAAAAC
rnacentral:rRNA from 1 species